rnacentral:rRNA from 1 species
CCAGACAGCCAGGAUGUUGGCUUAGAAGCAGCCAUCAUUUAAAGAAAGCGUAAUAGCUCACUGGUCGAGUCGGCCUGCGCGGAAGAUGUAACGGGGCUAAACCAUGCACCGAAGCUGCGGCAGCGACACUAUGUGUUGUUGGGUAGGGGAGCGUUCUGUAAGCCUGUGAAGGUGGCCUGUGAGGGUUGCUGGAGGUAUCAGAAGUGCGAAUGCUGACAUAAGUAACGAUAAAGCGGGUGAAAAGCCCGCUCGCCGGAAGAC